rnacentral:lncRNA from 1 species
UGUUCACCGUAGAUGGUGACACGGUCGUACUGUGAUUCACUUCUUUGAAACAACCCCUUCUUAGUGUGUUCAAAGGCUUUUGCACAAUGGCAACACGAUAUUGCGAUUCAGGAAAGUUUUGCUACCAUGUUACUUACAAGCACAGCACAUCAUUUUCUAAUUUGAUGAGCACAUUCAUUAAAAUCCCAUUUCAGGCGCCAAUGGAAUAAAAUGGACGUAAUUAUAUUGCACAUUACACACCAUAGGCCUAAAUGCUACAUGUCAUCACAGGAGAAAGCGAGAUGGUCAAAUUGCAGGAUAGGCUGCAUGGAUUGAUAAAGUCUAGAUGAAAAAAAAUGAAUAGUUUGCUGGAUUGGCUUGAUAGUUGCAUUUGACAGAUUUGUUUUGUUGGCCUUAAAUGAACUACAACUACCAACAAAUCAUGUCGACCUUGAAAUAAGUGAAUUACAUAGUCCUAUAUGUUUUUGUUAAAGUAGGCAAUUUUAAUGGGCAUUUUAAUUUUCUUAAUGUACCAUUUAUGUAAAUCGAUGUUUACUGGAAAUCCCGCUGCAAACGCAUUUCAGAACAUGUACAUAUUUUCAAAGUCAAAUAUCAAACUGGUGGUUUUAACUACAAUCUGAAAUAUGAUCAAAAAUAUACGUGUUAGGUUCGUGAAUAGCCUGAACAUCAACCCUUACAUUGAUUCUUCAUUUCAUAAAGAACUGAUUUAUAUUCUUACUAUUAGUCUAUAUAAACGUGUUGCGUUUUUAAGGGGACUUUUUUUUGAAGACGGACUUAAAGAAAAAAAGAAAAAAAAACAUUGACAAGAAAUAAGAAAAUGACUCAAUGACAGCCUUGUUUUCAUGAGGGCACUCUGGAGCGAAACCUGUGUGAUGGGAAUGCCAUGAUGGUAAACAGAGAGAUACGCGGUAAAGAUAAUGUACACAGGAGGAUCUUACCAAAGGAGGAAGGCACAGAGAUAUAUCAUCCAAAGUGAAAGAACCCAUCACAGCAAGACCCCUCACGCAGAUGAAAGACUCCAUUCUCAGAGGAGCAGAGCAGAAUUGCCGCCAUCUGACCAGUGGACAUCUCUCUUCAACGCCAGGAGCGUCAUUCACCGUCAUAUCCCAGCACCACCCUUUCAGAUAAAUCAACAAAAACAAACACAAAAACAAAACUGUGCCUUCAACUAACCCCAGCAGUACUACACCGUUUUGACCUACACCUACAAAACCACAAAGGUGGAGGAGAAACACACAAAAAAAGCACACUGCCCAACGGACGAUCAACAGAUGUUUGUCGAUGGCAGAGGUUCAAGCUCGCCCCUCUCUACGGACUAGAACACAAGGGCAUGUCUUAUGUGAAGUUCUGUUUCUUUUAACCCCCUGUGUUGACAAACGUUCAAUAUUAAUACGAUGUGCUAGUGAUUUGCUUCAUAUUGGAAGAAAUCCCUAUCUGUGCAAUAUCAGUUGAUAUAUUUCUGUGUGAAGCCGUAAUGUGGAAGUAGACUUUUUUGGACGAGUUUUCGGCUCAGUCUGUUUAUUUUUUUAAAUACUGUCCUCCUGAUCUCUAUUUUUCUAACAAAACAAAAAAAGGAAAAAAAAGAAAGAUGACUAUAUAGUAUAUAUAAAUAAACAUAUAUAAAUAUAUAUAUAUUAAAAAAAA